rnacentral:rRNA from 1 species
UCGGGAAUUUUGGGCAAUGGGCGAAAGCCUGACCCAGCAACGCCGCGUGAAGGAUGAAGUCUCUCGGGAUGUAAACUUCGUAAGAAUAGGAAGAAUAAAUGACGGUACUAUUUGUAAGGUCCGGCUAACUACGUGCCAGCAGCCGCGGUAAUACGUAGGGACCAAGCGUUGUUCGGAUUUACUGGGCGUAAAGGGCGCGUAGGCGGCGUGGUAAGUCACUUGUGAAAUCUCCGAGCUUAACUCGGAACGGUCAAGUGAUACUGCUGUGCUAGAGUACAGAAGGGGCAAUCGGAAUUCUUGGUGUAGCGGUGAAAUGCGUAGAUAUCAAGAGGAACACCUGAGGUGAAGACGGGUUGCUGGGCUGAUACUGACGCUGAGGCGCGAAAGCUAGGGUAGCAAACGGGAUUAGAUACCCCCGUAGUCCCUGAGCGGGCUGGCAAGGCGCAU